UACGUAGGGAGCAAGCGUUGUCCGGAAUCAUUGGGCGUAAAGCGCGCGUAGGCGGCCCUGUAAGUCCGUUGUGAAAGUCAAAGGCUCAACCUUUGAAAGCCGGUGGAUACUGUGAGGCUAGAGUACGGAAGAGGCGAGUGGAAUUCCUGGUGUAGCGGUGGAAUGCGCAGAUAUCAGGAGGAACACCAAUAGCGAAGGCAGCUCGCUGGGACGUUACUGACACUGAGGCGCGAAAGCGUGGGGAGCGAACAGG
rnacentral:rRNA from 1 species